UACAGAGGAGCCAAGCGUUGUCCGGAUUGACUGGGCGUAAAGCGCACGCAGGCGGACGCGCGCGUGGGGUGUGAAAUCUGGCCGCUUAACGGCCAGGCGCCAUCCCAUACGGCGGGUCUGGAGUGAUGCAGAGGGCGGUGGAAUUGCCGGUGUAGUGGUGAAAUGCGUAGAGAUCGGCAGGAACACCCAGGGGGAAACCAGCCGCCUGGGCAUCGACUGACGCUGAGGCGCGAAAGCUAGGGGAGCAAACGGG
rnacentral:rRNA from 1 species